GGCCGGUUGGAACGCAAUGGUGCUUACAACUAAUUGAUCUCAACCAGUUACAGAUUUCUUUGUUCCUUCUCCAGUACUAUUGCUUCACUUGACUGGUCAUAA
ensembl:misc_RNA Y_RNA Y RNA